UACGUAGGGGGCAAGCGUUGUCCGGAAUCAUUGGGCGUAAAGAGCGUGUAGGCGGCCCGGUAAGUCCGCUGUGAAAGUCCAGGGCUCAACCCUGGGAUGCCGGUGGAUACUGUCGGGCUCGAGUCCGGAAGAGGAGUGUGGAAUUCCUGGUGUAGCGGUGAAAUGCGCAGAUAUCAGGAGGAACACCAAUGGCGAAGGCAGCUCGCUGGGACGGUACUGACGCUGAGGCGCGAAAGCGUGGGGAGCAAACAGG
rnacentral:rRNA from 1 species